UACGAAGGGGGCUAGCGUUGCUCGGAAUCACUGGGCGUAAAGGGCGCGUAGGCGGCCGGCCAAGUCGGGGGUGAAAGCCUGUGGCUCAACCACAGAAUGGCCCUCGAUACUGGACGGCUCGAGACCGGAAGAGGUUGGUGGAAUUGCGAGUGUAGAGGUGAAAUUCGUAGAUAUUCGGAAGAACACCAGUGGCGAAGGCGACUUACUGGACGAUUGUUGACGCUGAAAACCGAAAGCUAGGGGAGCAAACGGG
rnacentral:rRNA from 1 species